CUCAAUGCUGUGGCAAAUGCUGCAUCAGACGGUAGUUGGCGGGACCUGUGCUUUAGAAGAGCAUGUGUGGAGCUGAUCAGUAUAUUGGGUAUUUAGAGAUAAAGCUAAUUUGCACAAAAAUUAUGGCUACGCCCAAGGAUGUGGUUAAAGUUGAAAAGUUUGAUUUUAUUGGUUAUUCCUGAGAACAUGAAAGAUUUAUAUUUUAUUUCUGUAGCCUAAAAAGUUAAUACAAGCAUAUGCAGAUAUGCUGGGGAUGGAGUAAGUAUAAUGGAAGAACAAUAGGCCUUUAUUUGAUGGCUUUUAGCUUUAAGAUGCUCAAUGAGGAGGGUCAAGGAGAUUUUGUUCUUUUAUUUGCCAUUGAUUGGCCUUUGGUUGAUAUAUCUGAUUUCAUGUACUCCACAGGCACAACAAAAAGCUAUCAAGUUGCUUUCUUGUGUGCUUUUGAUGAAGUCGCAGACUUUUAUCGGUCCCAGCUUAUCACAAGUGAAACUCGACGUGGCAUAGUUGUUGCCACGGCAUUGGAGGUUGAUAAAGCUUCAAAUUGCCUAUCCACCAUAGCUGCAACUACAAUGAUGUUUUUGCACAAUCGUGACUACCAGCGGUAUGCUUUGUUGGAAGAGGUGAGAAACUCCUUGUUGAAAGAACCAACCCUACAUGACGCCAUUAAGAUUGCUGUGACCUAUAGGAAGCAAGAGCUACUGCAAUUGGAAGAACAAAACAACGAUCCAGCAGAGCCAGAAGUGGUGAUAGUUGAAGAUGAUGAAGUGGUGAUUGAACCAGUGCCAAAAAAGAAGCGCACUGGCAAUAAGGGAUUCACUAUCCCUGAGGAGUUGGGGAGGGGGGGGCUAAUGCGAUUGGUCCCCCUCCCCCGCUCCGCACUCCUCCCACUUCUCCCCUUCCUCCUCCCCUUCUUCUCUUCCUAUUACAGUACACCACAAAAAAAAUUUAAAAAAACAAAAAGUUAGAAAAAUUUAU
rnacentral:lncRNA from 1 species